GCAUGAUUUCUCUUGAUAUAUUAGCAAUCUUUGCUAGCAUAUUUUCUGAACAGCCCAGUUAUCAAGAACGGAAACUGAACAACAUUGCUAUAAUGUAUACAGGUGAUUUUGCAUAAGCGGAAAUAUACUAUUAUUAUCCCUAACUUAAACGGAGUUUAGUAUGGAAUAUAGAAACGGGGUUUCGCCGGUCCGUCCGUCGCCUUUCGUUUCUGGAGAACUCAUAAACUUUCAAUAUGCUUUCCUGUAACGCCUUGCUCGUAAAUGAUAUAUUUUCCUGUUCAGGAACUAAAAAAACAUACAUUUGUUUGCGUUUCCAAUGCAACAAGAUGGACUUCAAAUGGGCUUAAGGGUUUGUUUCCAAAGCAUCAACCAUUUCUUCUUGAAACCUUGUAUACAUAUCAGAAAAGUGACCUGGUGACAUUUACUUUUCAGGAAUUGUUAUAUCUGGUAUACAUGUUUGCAUCACCCAGUUCAAUUUAAGGAUGAGGACAGAAAGCAGGAUGAUCCCCCUGACUUACAGUUUCUCAAUCUGCUGAAACCAGUGGCACACUUCUCUGGACUUGACUUUGACGAAGGCACUCAAGGGGAGAGAGGCAAUCUGAGCGUCACACGAAACUGGGCCAACCCUGAUGGUUCUGACAGAAAGCUCCUGUACAACGGGAUGAGUUACGAGAACGGCUCCAUCACAGUACCGGCAGCAGGAGUGUACUACAUCACAAGUCAUGUCAAGUUCUACGUCGAGGACAACAAGAAGGACGACAAGCCACUCCAAACAUUCCAGCACCAGGUUGUCCGCUAUAGCGCCUCCAGCCAGACACAGCUCGUGUUGUUUGAGAAUGCCGUGACUGAGUGUAAAGAGGGCAUCAAUGACGGAGCUCACCUGGAGUACCCGAGUGAUGCUGGUGGACUGGCUCAGUUAGAUGCUGGAGACCAGGUGAUGGUGAAAUCGUCACAUCUUCAUUUGCUGAGACACGAUCGUGACUGGCACUUUCUUGACGUCUUUGUCAUAUAAAGAUGCAGGAAAUGCUGGCGAAAUUACUUCUUUGCUUUCGUUUUGCACCAUGCUUCGUCUGUUCCAUUAACUAUACAGUUCUUUCCUGGCAUCUAUGCAUCUAACUUUCGGUCAUAUCAGUUUACAUGUCAGUCAGACCUGAUUUAUUACACCAAGAGUGUCCAACAGGAUAUACUCUAAACUUUCAGUACAGCUGUUACCACCCUUUCACGGUGUGCACCAGAUUGAUAACUAUUGCUGAUUUGUAAUCCAUGAUUAUUGAUCUGUUAGCAAACAACAGACGAAGUCCAUACGCCACAUGUGUGCAGUUCAGGGUUACCUAGUGUUAAUCGUUUUGAUUUGACAACCGCGACUCACUACUAACAUCCAGGAUGGAACAUCCAGGCCGACUCUUGUUUGUUGAUUUCUUCUUCGGUACAAUAAACACAAGUAAAGAUUG